rnacentral:rRNA from 1 species
GAUGAACGCUGGCGGCGUGCCUAAUACAUGCAAGUCGAGCGAACGGACGGGAAGCUUGCUUCUCUGAUGUUAGCGGCGGACGGGUGAGUAACACGUGGAUAACCUACCUAUAAGACUGGGAUAACUUCGGGAAACCGGAGCUAAUACCGGAUAAUAUUUUGAACCGCAUGGUUCAAAAGUGAAAGACGGUCUUGCUGUCACUUAUAGAUGGAUCCGCGCUGCAUUAGCUAGUUGGUAAGGUAACGGCUUACCAAGGCAACGAUGCAUAGCCGACCUGAGAGGGUGAUCGGCCACACUGGAACUGAGACACGGUCCAGACUCCUACGGGAGGCAGCAGUAGGGAAUCUUCCGCAAUGGGCGAAAGCCUGACGGAGCAACGCCGCGUGAGUGAUGAAGGUCUUCGGAUCGUAAAACUCUGUUAUUAGGGAAGAACAUAUGUGUAAGUAACUGUGCACAUCUUGACGGUACCUAAUCAGAAAGCCACGGCUAACUACGUG